UACGGAGGGGGCUAGCGUUGUCCGGAAUUAUUGGGCGUAAAGAGCUCGUAGGCGGUCUGUCGCGUCUGCUGUGAAAACCUAAGGCUCAACCUUGGGCUUGCAGUGGGUACGGGCAGACUAGAGUGCGGUAGGGGUGACUGGAAUUCCUGGUGUAGCGGUGGAAUGCGCAGAUAUCAGGAGGAACACCGAUGGCGAAGGCAGGUCACUGGGCCGCAACUGACGCUGGAGGGAGCGAAAGCAUGGGGAGCGAACAGG
rnacentral:rRNA from 1 species